GGAUACUCAUGCAGUCAGUCCCAAGGGCAAUGCGAUAUCCUAGCUAAGACCACCUCGAAGAAAUCAGCACCAAGAGCAGUUAAAAGAACCUCGAGUGAUAUGGUCACGAAGAUCAGAGCAAAUCACGAAACCUAUGGACCUAAAGGACUCCAAGUUCAAAGGACCCCGUGAGGAAGGAUAGAGAGAGAUGCAAACCCGAAAAGCAUUCUUAAAAAGCCACAGCAGGGCCAUUGUUCAAACACAACAAAAUAAAAAAGGCACAAGGGCCUAAUUCGAAGUCUUAAACCCUCACCGAGGGCAGUUACAAAAUAAACUCCUUCAUGGGGUCAAGAGUUCAGUGGAUAGAGAUUGAAAUCAGUUGGCAGGAGGGUCAUCAGCAGCGUGCUCUGGCGUCUUCUCCGCC
rnacentral:lncRNA from 1 species